UACGUAGGGUGCAAGCGUUGUCCGGAAUUAUUGGGCGUAAAGAGCUCGUAGGCGGUUUGUCGCGUCUGCUGUGAAAACUCGGGGCUUAACCCCGGGCCUGCAGUCGAUACGGGCAGGCUAGAGUUCGGUAGGGGAGAUCGGAAUUCCUGGUGUAGCGGUGAAAUGCGCAGAUAUCAGGAGGAACACCGGUGGCGAAGGCGGAUCUCUGGGCCGAUACUGACGCUGAGGAGCGAAAGCGUGGGGAGCGAACAGG
rnacentral:rRNA from 1 species